rnacentral:rRNA from 1 species
GAGUUUGAUCCUGGUUCAGGACGAACGCUGGCGGCGUGCUUAACACAUGCAAGUCGAACGGAGAUUUAAGAGGAAGCUUGCGAAUCUUAAAUUUUAGUGGCGGACGGGUGAGUAACACGUGGAUAACCUGCCUGUAAGACCGGGACAACACCUGGAAACGGGUGCUAAUACCGGGUAAGCUCUUCAGCCCGCAUGGGCAGAAGAGGAGAGGGGAAACCCGCUUACAGAUGGGUCCGCGGCCCAUUAGCUAGUUGGCGGUGUAACAGACCACCAAGGCGACGAUGGGUAGCCGGCCUGAGAGGGUGACCGGCCACACUGGAACUGAGACACGGUCCAGACUCCUACGGGAGGCAGCAGUGGGGAAUCUUCCGCAAUGGGCGAAAGCCUGACGGAGCAACGCCGCGUGAAUGAUGAAGGCCUUCGGGUUGUAAAAUUCUGUCUUCAGGGAAGAAAAAAAUGACGGUACCUGAGGAGGAAGCCCCGGCUAACUACGUGCCAGCAGCCGCGGUAAUAC